UGCUUUGCAGAUCUUAAAGGGCUAUAUAAAUGUGAGUUAUCAAUAGACUUAACAUGUUGAAAUAUUCCCGUGGUGUUGGGAAGUCAAGUAAUGAGAAACUCAAACCAAUAUAUUUUAGGGAUUGUAGAUGAAACAAGUGAAAUCCAGAAACAACUACUAGAUUUUAUUAUAACCACAAGAGUCAUAUUUAUCCCAUAUCCAGUCCUUGACAGAUGGAAGUUUCAUCUCCUUUCUAUGUGGUGAAGGGUCAGUGAUGUGGCCAAAGGAAUUAGGAUCAAUGAGUAAAGAGGAGGAGUACUCAUAGGGUGAUAUAUGUACGUGCUUUCAAAAGUAUCUGGACAAUAAAACUGACUGAGCACUUGAGAUAUUCUUUCCUGAUGAGGGUUCCUAAGACAUAGUAACUGUGAUGUAAUAAUACCAAUGAAACCGGAAGGGCAUUUCCAACCCAGACACUCACUGAAAAUCUUUAAAGAACUGAAGUGGACCUAGCUCUUCAUUGAGGAUCUGUGAUGAAGGAUGCUACCUAUCUCCUGACAGAGAAGAGAUGGAUUCAAGAUUUAGAAUGAAAUACACACUUUUGGACAUAACUGGUUUACAGAGAGCUUAUUGGAAAACCCAGAACCUUCUGGAUGACUGAGGUAGUAGACAAUGCCUCCUCCUGCAUAGAUCACACCUCU